UUCUCUCUCUCAGCCAUCAGUCAGCCAACUCCCGCCGCCGCAGCUCCCUCCGGCGAGGCAGCCGUCGACCGGCCUCCUUCCUUGGCAACGACGAUAGGUACCGCCGCCGCCUCCCUCCGUUCUCACUCAGUCCGCUCCCGGCGGCUGCAGCAGCAAGGCCGCCGCCGACCGCGACUCCCUCACUCUCUGCUCACUCCGACCGACAGCAGUAGAAGAACCACCGCCGUCGCCGUCCUUCCCUCGACAAAAUCCAGCCCAGACCCGGCUCAGAGCGGCAACAAGGCCCUUGCCUCGCCGCCUCUCCCUCAAAUCUCCGGCGACAGCAGGCUUUGCCGCCGUCGACUCUCCUUUUCCCUCCACUGACUCAACCCAUCUCUCUCUCUCUUCUGUGACAGUGGCGAAUCACCACCGCCACCUCUCUCUCUCGCUCAACUCUCUCUCAUUGAAUCAGACCGGCGAGCAACCAUGAAGGCCGCUGCCGUUGUCGACUCUUUCUCUUCGGCUGGUAACAGCCGCCCACCGUGUAGCUCGCCGGAGGAGCAGCAGCGACAAGCCGCGCCACCCUCGGCUUUCUACACACACCAGGACACAUAGACGGAGGUAGCACGCAGCCGCCGUCCACCGACUCUCUCUCUCAAGCCGUGGCCGGGCAGCAGCGGCACCACCGCCGUGCUCUGCCUCCCUCCGCUGAACUUUGGCCGACGGCAGCAGCUUCAUGCCGCCACCAUCGCCGCCCUCUUAUCUCCCUCGGAACUCUCUCCCGGCUCUCUUUCUCUAUGUGAGAACAGAGCACCACAGACAAGCCUCAAUUUCCGACAACCGCAACGAAGUCACGGCCGUGGUCCUUCCCGACUCGACACAGCAAGCAAAAACAAGCUUAAAACUCAUUUCAUUUUUUUUCUUCAUUCGUUUCUUAUUCAAACAUGUAUGCAGAUGUAUAUGAAUGCUUUGUUCAAAAGUCUUCGUUCAAUUUAUAAGUGAGAGUAAGUGACGUGCAUACACAAAAACAUGAAUUGUUGUCUGUUGUACAUUAGAGGUUUGAGUACUGGAGGAAAUCACUGAAACUGAAUUUGGGUGCUAACCGUGAAUGGAGGUAAAAUGGACAGAGUGAUUUGUAGAUGAAAUCUUUAGAGCUUUCAGCUGAGUUUGUGGAGUCCGUGUGGUAUAGCUGAACUUCUGUGGGUGUAGCUCCGCACUUAGUUCCUUGGUAUGUAGGAGAAAUGGUAAGUGGAAGGAAAUGGGUAUUUUGUUGGAGAAAUAGGCAUGGCUAAAGCUUAUUUUGGUGGGGGCAAAGGAUCGUGUGUAGUGUGGGUGGAAAGUGGGGAAAGUGGAAAUUGGUGGGGAAAAAGUAUCGUGUGGUGUAGUGUAGUGUAGUGUGGGUGGAAAGUGGGGAAAGUGGAAAUUGGUGGGGAAAAAGUAUCGUGUGGUGUAGUGUAGUGUAGUGUGAGUGUAAAGUGUGAGUGUAGAGUGUGAGUGGAAAGAGUGAGUGUAAAAAAAAUAAAUAAAAUAUAAUGAAAACUGUAAUAAUCGUUCAGUGUGCGCUUAAAUAAAUAACUCGUGUAGAUACUAAAUGUUAAAUUAAAUAAAUAUGCAAU